rnacentral:lncRNA from 1 species
AUUCUAAAAAAUGAUUAAUUAUACUUUAUAUUACAAGAUGCAAAAAAUUGUCCAGUGAAUUAACAAGAUAUUUAAUACAAUUUUCAAACAUCGCCAUGGAACAUAUGACCUCGUAGGGCACCACAGCUACGAGCACACUUGAUGCAAGAGUUGUCGGAAUUAUCAUUGCCUUCACGCCUCCACAAGCCAGUAACUCUGACUUCACCGCAAACACCCACAAAUGAAGCUUUCUUAGCAACUGGAUAUAUGAAGCCCACACUUGUCCAUUCCGAACAUCCGACCAUGCACCAACGGUUAGACAACUACAAUUUUGAAGGCGAGCUGAGAAGGAAAGUAUACAAGUCCCACGCCGAAGAGGAUCGUCGAACCGUUCGUCGCCUGUCACUGGCAACACCUGUAAACGCCACGACAAUUGUGAAUGUGCAAUAAUAGUACAAAGCAUAGCAACAAAUUGGACACGCUAAAUAAUCGACUACCAAAACCUUGUCGCAACAGAAACAACGCUCGACCCCAUCAUAGUUGCCACACUAGCCGCCGGCACACCAACCAUACAACAUCCGUAUAGGCACCUGGAAACUGUGAGGACAUACAUAUUGAGCCCGGGAAAGCAUGUAUGGGAUUCAAAUUCUUCAAGAUGGCCUCCCAAUGAGAGAGACGGUGUGGGAAUGCUAAUGUCGUCUGACCAUACAACCAUGAUCUUAGGCCCUCAGCCAAAGACAUGACCCGAGGGUGGGAGAGGUUGGAAAGCUCCGCAAUGACCCCAAAAGAACGACACUAAAGAGCAUCGUAUUGUCGGAGUCGACAAAAGCCAAGCAAGCAUUCAUCUAGAGCAGUAUGCCACUAUAUUCCCUAUGUGAACGACCAAAGGUAGAGAAAAACCGCACAACUACCUACCCAAACCUACUAACCCACACACACCUCCAGCACAUUGACGACAUCACCACCACCCAUGAACCAUCCUCCUCACCACCAACAGAAGUCGACGGGAUAUAUCAGUUGGCACCCAGCUAGAUCUGGUGUCCCUCCACCAUAAUGCCGCAUGAGAUGCUAUGCCACAAACACCAACACACCGCCAACCCUUUGAGCACAAGGCUUGGGCCCACCACACCGCCGCUCUUUGGAAAUGAGCUAUCUGGAUGAAGUCCACACAAUCUACUGACAUUAUUGCACUAAUGGAUCGCGCUAAAGCUACCAUCGGCUAAAGACGCUACCAAUAAGUUUGUCGGCCACCGAAAGACAUCACACAACACAACCGCAUGGUAUCGAGCCCCUACCACGGGUUCUUGAUGUCAUGCCAUAAAACGACCCUAUUACGGUGUUCGCCGCACGGGCAUAGGCAACCCGUCGACCGGGGGGAGAAGGGCUUGGAGGAGGGAGCCGAUGACGGAGGUGACUAAGGUUUUGCCCAAUACACCCCUUAGAGGAGCAAUCAUUGAGUUAUCAAUUAUAUCUACAUAUACAAUACAUAUAAAUUCUAGCUAAACGCUUGUGCGUUGCUACAACUGUUAAUAUAAAUAAUUAAAUAUAUGUCCUCCAUAAUGAAUGUCAAUUUUUUUAGCAAUAGCUUAAAAGAUUAAUGGACCGUCUCUAGCAUAUAUUUUGUUUGCGAGAAACCAAAAUAAAACUUCAAAGGCCAAGGUGUGGCCUCCGACAUCGAGCUACACCCACGACAUCACAAUGACUUGAAUUUAAUGUUUUUUUGGUUAGGAUGUGUUUGUAAUGACCCAUUAUACUUAAUAUAUGACCUUUGCAAAAUGUGUGGCAUACGAGAUGUGGUCACGCAAUUGCAUAUCUGGUGCUCCCGGUUGUUAGAAGCUCACGUGCUUCCGGGGAUUCUAGGCCGCAUGAUCGCCAAUCCAAUGGACAUGAUCGAAGAUACCGAGCCCAGUUUUUCAACAGAUCAAACAUUACACUUUAACUUUGAAGGAAAUUCUAGAAAAUGAUUAAUUAUACUUUAUAUUACAAGAUGCAAAAAAUUGUCCAGUUAAUUAACAUGAUAUUUAAUACGAUUUUCAAACGUCGCCAUGGAACAUAUGACCUCGUAGGGCACCGCAGCUACGAGCACACUUAAUGCAAGAGUUGUCGAAAUUAUCAUUGCCUUCAUGCCUCCACAAGCCAAUACUCUGACUUCACCGCAAACACCCACAAAUGAAGCUUUCUUAGCAAUUGGAUAUAUGAAGCCCACACUUGUCCGUUCCGAACAUCCGACCAUGCACCAAUGGUUAGACAACUACAAUUUUGAAGGCGAGCUUAGAAGGAAAGUAUACAAGUCCCACGCCGAAGAGGAUCGUCGAACCGUUCGUCGCCUGUCACUGGCAACACCUGUAAACGCCACGACAACUGUGAAUGUGCAAUAAUGGUACAAAGCAUAGCAACAAAUUGGACACGCUAAAUAAUCGACUACCAAAACCUUGUCGCAACAGAAACAACGCUCGACCCCAUCAUAGUUGCCACACUAGCCGCCGGCACACCAACCAUACAACAUCCGUACAGGCACCUGUAAACUGUGAGGACAUACAUAUUGAGCCAGGGAAAGCGUGUAUGGGAUUCAAAUUCUUCAUGAUGGCCUCCCAAUGAGAGAGACGGUGUGGGAAUGCUAAUAUCGUCUGACCAUACAACCAUGAUCUUAGGCCUUCAGCCAAAGACAUGACCCGAGGGUGGGAGAGGUUGGAAAGCUCCGCAAUGACCCCAAAAGAACGACACUAAAGGGCAUCGUAUUGUCGGAGCCGACAAAAGCCAAGCAAGCAUUCAUCUAGAGCAGUAUGCCAUUAUAUUCCCUAUGUGAACAACCAAAGGUAGAGAAAACCCGCACAACUACCUACCCAAACCCACUAACCCACACACACCUCCAGCAUAUUGACGACAUCACCACCACCCAUGAACCAUCCUCCUCACCACCAACAGAAUUCGACGGGAUAUAUUCAGUUGGCACCCAACUAGAUCUGGUGUCCCUCCACCAUAAUGGCGCAUGAGAUGCUAUGCCACAAACACCAACACACCGCCAACCCUAUGAGCACAAGGCUUGGGCCCACCAUACCGCCGCUCUUUGGAAAUGAGCUAUCUGGAUGAAGUCCACACAAUCUAUUGACAUUGUUGCACUAAUGGAUCGCGCUAAAGCUACCAUCGGCUAAAGACGCUACCAAUAAGUUUGUCGGCCACCGAAAGACAUCACACAACACAACCGCAUGGUAUCAAGCCCCCACCACGGGUUCUUGAUGUCAUGCCAUAAAACGACCCUAUUACGGUGUUCGCCGCACGGACAUAGGCAGCCCGUCGACCGGGGGGAGAAGGGCUUGGAGGAGGGAGCCGAUGACGGAGGUGACUAAGGUUUUGCCCAAUACACCCCUUAGAGGAGCAAUCAUUGAGUUAUCAAUUAUAUCUACAUAUACAAUACAUAUAAAUUCUAGCUAAACGUUUGUGCGUUGCUACAACUGUUAUUAUAAAUAAUUAAAUAUAUGUCCUCCAUAGUAAAUGUCAAUUUUUUAGCAAUAGCUUAAAAGGUCAAUGGACCGUCUCUAGCAUAUAUUUUGUUUGCGAGAAACCAAAAUAAAACUUCAAAGGCCAAGGUGUGGCCUCCGACAUCGAGCUACACCCACGACAUCACAAGGACUUGAAUUUAAUGUUUUUUUUGGUUAGGAUGUGUUUGUAAUGACCCAUUAUACUUAAUAUAUGACCUUUGCAAAAUGUGUGGCAUACGAGAUGUGGUCACGCAAUUGCAUAUCUGGUGCUCCCGGUUGUUAGAAGCUCACAUCUUCCGGGGAUCCUAGGCCGCAUGAUCGCCAAUCCAAUGGACAUGAUCGAAGAUACCGAGCCUAGUUUUCCAACAGAUCAAACAUUACACUUUAACUUUGAAGGAAAUUCUAGAAAAUGAUUAAUUAUACUUUAUAUUACAAGAUGCAAAAAAUUGUCCAGUUAAUUAACAUGAUAUUUAAUACGAUUUUCAAACGUCGCCAUGGAACAUAUGACCUCGUAGGGCACCACAGCUACGAGCACACUUGAUGCAAGAGUUGUCGGAAUUAUCAUUGCCUUCACGCCUCCACAAGCCAGUAACUCUGACUUCACCGCAAACACCCACAAAUGAAGCUUUCUUAGCAACUGGAUAUAUGAAGCCCACACUUGUCCAUUCCGAACAUCCGACCAUGCACCAACGGUUAGACAACUACAAUUUUGAAGGCGAGCUGAGAAGGAAAGUAUACAAGUCCCACGCCGAAGAGGAUCGUCGAACCGUUCGUCGCCUAUCACUGGCAACACCUAUAAACGCCACGACAACUGUGAAUGUGCAAUAAUGGUACAAAGCAUAGCAACAAUUUGGACACGCUAAAUAAUCGACUACCAAAACCUUGUCGCAACAGAAACAACGCUCGACCCCAUCAUAGUUGCCACACUAGCCGCCGGCACACCAACCAUACAACAUCCGUACAGGCACCUGGAAACUGUGAGGACAUACAU